UUAGAGUUUGAUCCUGGCUCAGGAUGACCUUUAGCGGCAGGCUUAACACAUGCAAGUCGAGGGGCAGCAUGUCCAGCAAUGGAUGAUGGCGACCGGCGGAAGGGUGCGUAACGCGUGAGCAACAUGCCCUAUACAGGGAGAUACACCAAGGAAACUUGGUCUAAUAUCCCAUAGCAUUCAUUGAAGGCAUCUUUAAUGAAUUAAAGCUUCGGUGGUAUAGGAUUGGCUCGCGUGACAUUAGCCAGAUGGUGAGGUAACGGCUCACCAUAGCAAUGAUGUCUAGGGGUUUUGAGAGGAAGGCCCCCCACACUGGGACUGAGACACGGCCCAGACUCCUACGGGAGGCAGCAGUGAGGAAUAUUGGACAAUGGAUGGAAAUCUGAUCCAGCCAUGCCGCGUGCAGGAAGACGGCCUUAUGGGUUGUAAACUGCUUUUAUACGGGAGCAAUAAGGGUUACGAGUAAUCCGAUGAGAGUACUGUAUGAAUAAGGAUCGGCUAACUCCGUGCCAGCAGCCGCGGUAAUACGGAGGAUCCGAGCGUUAUCCGGAUUUAUUGGGUUUAAAGGGUACGUAGGCGGGAUGAUAAGUCAGCGGUGAAAUUUUGCAGCUUAACUGUAAGCUUGCCGUUGAAACUAUUAUUCUUGAGUGUAGAUAAGGUAGGCGGAAUGUGUUGUGUAGCGGUGAAAUGCUUAGAUAUAACACAGAACACCAAUUGCGAAGGCAGCUUACCGGGUUACCACUGACGCUGAGGUACGACAGCGUGGGGAUCAAACAGGAUUAGAUACCCUGGUAGUCCACGCCGUAAACGAUGAAUACUCGCUGUUUGCGAUAUAGUGCAAGCGGCCAAGCGAAAGCAUUAAGUAUUCCACCUGGGGAGUACGUUCGCAAGAAUGAAACUCAAAGGAAUUGACGGGGGCCCGCACAAGCGGAGGAACAUGUGGUUUAAUUCGAUGAUACGCGAGGAACCUUACCCGGGCUUGAAAUGCAAUCGACUGACUUGGAAACAGGUCAUCCAGCAAUGGCGAUUGUGUAGGUGCUGCAUGGUUGUCGUCAGCUCGUGCCGUGAGGUGUCGGCUUAAGUGCCAUAACGAGCGCAACCCUUGCCGUUAGUUGCCAUCAGGUCAAGNNGGAGACUUUAAUGAGACUGCCACCGUAAGGUGUGAGGAAGGGGGGGAUGACGUCAAAUCAGCACGGCCCUUAUGUCCGGGGCGACACACGUGUUACAAUGGGAGGUANNGAGGGCAGCUAUCCGGUGACGGAAUGCUAAUCUCCAAAACCUUUCUCAGUUCGGAUUGGAGUCUGCAACUCGACUCCAUGAAGGUGGAUUCGCUAGUAAUCGCGCAUCAGCCAUGGCGCGGUGAAUACGUUCCCGGGCCUUGUACACACAACCCGUCA
rnacentral:rRNA from 1 species